rnacentral:snoRNA from 1 species
GCGCUAUGAUGUAAUAUCAACACAUCAUUCUGAAGAGAAUGGAACAUGUGGAGACUCUUAUUACUGAGCACA